rnacentral:rRNA from 1 species
AUGAUGGGUAGGGGAGCUUCCCAUACGGGUUGAAGCAUGACCGUAAGGACAUGUGGACAGUAUGGGAGUGAGAAUGUUGGCAUGAGUAGCGAGAUGUGGGUGAGAAUCCCACAGGCCGUAAACCCAAGGUUUCCAGGGGAAGGUUCGUCCGCCCUGGGUUAGUCGGGACCUAAGCUGAGGCCGAAAGGCGUAGGUGAUGGACAACAGGUUGAUAUUCCUGUACUACCGAUAACCGUUUGAGAGAAGGGAUGACACAGUAGGAUAAGCUAAGCACACUGUUGGUUAUGUGUGCCCAAGCAUUGAGGCAGUCAAAGUAGGCAAAUCCGCUUUGAUAAUGCUGGGAUGUGAUGGGGAGCGAAAUUUAGUAGCGAAGUAGCUGAUUUCACACUGUCAAGAAAAGGCUCUAUCGAGGUUAAAGGUACCCGUACCGCAAACCGACACAGGUGGGUGAGGAGAGUAUCCUAAGGCCAGCGAGAGAACUGUUGUUAAGGAACUCGGCAAAAUGACCCCGUAACUUAGGGAUAAGGGGUGCCACCAUCAGGUGGCCGCAGAGAAUAGGCCCAAGCGACUGUUUACCAAAAAC